rnacentral:rRNA from 1 species
GCGGCAGGCCUAACACAUGCAAGUCGAGCGGUAGAGAGAAGCUUGCUUCUCUUGAGAGCGGCGGACGGGUGAGUAAUGCCUAGGAAUCUGCCUGGUAGUGGGGGAUAACGUUCGGAAACGGACGCUAAUACCGCAUACGUCCUACGGGAGAAAGCAGGGGACCUUCGGGCCUUGCGCUAUCAGAUGAGCCUAGGUCGGAUUAGCUAGUUGGUGGGGUAAUGGCUCACCAAGGCGACGAUCCGUAACUGGUCUGAGAGGAUGAUCAGUCACACUGGAACUGAGACACGGUCCAGACUCCUACGGGAGGCAGCAGUGGGGAAUAUUGGACAAUGGGCGAAAGCCUGAUCCAGCCAUGCCGCGUGUGUGAAGAAGGUCUUCGGAUUGUAAAGCACUUUAAGUUGGGAGGAAGGGCAGUAAAUUAAUACUUUGCUGUUUUGACGUUACCGACAGAAUAAGCACCGGCUAACUCUGUGCCAGCAGCCGCGGUAAUACAGAGGGUGCAAGCGUUAAUCGGAAUUACUGGGCGUAAAGCGCGCGUAGGUGGUUCGUUAAGUUGGAUGUGAAAUCCCCGGGCUCAACCUGGGAACUGCAUUCAAAACUGACGAGCUAGAGUAUGGUAGAGGGUGGUGGAAUUUCCUGUGUAGCGGUGAAAUGCGUAGAUAUAGGAAGGAACACCGGUGGCGAAGGCGACCACCUGGACUGAUACUGACACUGGGGUGCGAAAGCGUGGGGAGCAAACAGGAUUAGAUACCCUGGUAGUCCACGCCGUAAACGAUGUCAACUAGCCGUUGGGAGCCUUGAGCUCUUAGUGGCUCAGCUAACGCAUUAAGUUGACCGCCUGGGGAGUACGGCCGCAAGGUUAAAACUCAAAUGAAUUGACGG